rnacentral:rRNA from 1 species
UGCGCAGGCGGAAUAUUAAGUCAGUGGUGAAAGCCUACAGCUCGACUGUAGAACUGCCAUUGAAACUGAUAUUCUUGAGUAUAGUUGUAGUGGGCGGAAUAUAUCAUGUAGCGGUGAAAUGCUUAGAUAUGAUAUAGAACACCGAUCGCGAAGGCAGCUCACUAAGCUAUAACUGACGCUCAGGCACGAAAGCGUGGGGAGCAAACAGGAUUAGAUACCCUGGUAGUCC